AUUUCAUACAUAUGUUUAUAUAUUUAAAAAAUGAACAUGUAUUAUCCCAUUCCAAUAAACAACUAAUAAAUCAUUCCCUAUAAUAGUUAUACAUUCUAGGGCAGUCGUUUAUGGUUGUCAAAAGGUUUAGAAUUCCAUCACAGAAAUUUUGUAGCAGUCUUCAAAGAUGACUCAGUCUAGUCCAGUUAUACAGAUAACGAAACUGAGGCCCAGAGAAGGGAAGAAACAUGAAAACAAGGGUGCCAGCUGUGGCAGCAACUCACAGUAGAACUCAUUCUGUUGUUAACCAGCUUUAGGAAUUCCCCCCACAUUCUGAGUAACCCGAUAACCAAGGAUCAUCCUGGGAAAUCCCUCUACAAUCUAAAUUCUCUCUGAAACAAGGUGGCUAUUAGUGGGUGUGGAUACAGGUCCUAAACUUGCCAACGUGAUUCAGUAGCUACAUGUAUAGUUUUACCCCAUGCUGCUGAAAGGGAAAAAAAAAUCUCACAAAAUUUUAGAGCUAGGAAGGAUCUUGCUAACCCACCUCACUUUACGUAUAAGCAAGCUAAGGAAUACACAGGUUAAGACAUUUGUCCAAAACCACCAAUUGCAAAGCUGGUAAUAAAAUUUUGCCGUAACAGAAAUCCUCGGAUCAACUCAAGGGCACAUUGGGUGACUCCUGUCAUGCUGCAAGGCCAAAAAGAACCACCAAAGAGGCAGCAAAAUAUUUCCUAAGAAGUGCCGGCAGCUUUGCACUAAGUUCCAAUUUUUCUAACUGAAAAAGCUAUUUUUGCAGUGUGGUUCCUGAGAAAGGCUGACUCACUGAAAAAGUGGGGAACAAUUUACUCACAGUGGACUUCUCUAAAUUGGCGAUGUUUCUCUGUGUCCCUUAAUCAGCCAGUGGGAUCUCCACAAAUAGGAACCCACCCAACCAUUUUCUUGCUUCUCAUUGUUCUUAGACUGAAAACAGAAUUCUUUACACAUUCUACAAGGCCAGGGCCGCUGGAUAGAGUUACAGUUGUGGAGUUGGUGCCUGGCUGAGGGGGUUCUUGCUCUGUCAUUCAAGCUGGAGUGUGAUGGCACGGUCAUAGCUCACUGCAGCCUCUACCUUCCAGUCAAGUGCCCUUCCUCAGCCUCCCAAGUAGCUCAAACUACAGGAAUCACAGCUGUCCUGUUCUUCACUAUGUCCUAGCAGUGUCUGAGAAGUUGAUCAAGGUGGAGAUUUCUACUGUGUGUGAUGUGAAAAGAAUAUCUUAAUGCCAAAACGUCUCACAUCAAGGAUGCAGAAGGUUACAUUUUCACAUACACUCUAGAAGACAUCCUGAGAAACUCUGAGACAAGUCAAUGGAGGACCCAGAGGAACAGCUUGCAGCACUGCCUUCACCUAGCCAUCUACUAGCAUCACUGAAAGUGGAUAGUUCUUUUGAGAAUGAGAAGUGUUCCAGAAUCAAGGGAGCUCCCUAACCCUGAAGAUGUGUGGUUUCUUCCUCAUGACUCAUAGGACGAUGGAAUAGUAAUUAAGAGCACAUGCCUAAGUUUGUGACUUUGGGUAAAUCAUUUAACCUCUCUGAGCCUCAGGUUUAAUGAUAAAAAUAACAACAGGGUUUUAAAAAUUGGAUUCUAUGAGAUGAUGCAAGUAAAAUACUUUGCAGAGUACCUGACACACAGAGCACUCAAUACAUCUUUAUUUAUAUUAUUAAAUUAUAAAGAAAGAAAAGAGAGCAAUUUACAGAAAAAACUGACUAUGUUUAUAAUUGCAUAGAAAACAGUUGAAGGUUAUAUGCCAAACUUUUACUGAAGUAUGAAGGAAAUUUCACAUUUUAUCCACAUAAUUUUCAAAUCAACCUUUAUUAUUGGCCUAUAUUUUUCAUAAGUUUUUAAAAAUCAGAGUAAGUUUUAAAAACUUCAUGGCUACUUUUCACUUUUUCACUUCAAAAAUUUCAUUGACAACCAACAAGUCUUAUUUGAAAGGAGAAUGAGGAGGGCCAACACCCCUAAACUACCUGAGUUAGUGGCCUAAGGCACAAUACUGAUGUAGCUAUAUUUAGUCAAACGGCUGGCCCCUGGCCUUCACAGUGAAAAAUGGAUUCCAUCAAAGGCAGCAAGGCUGCCUGAGCUUGUGCCUGGUCUCUGGCAGCACACAUCUCUGAAAAAAAUAAACUUUUUUUUUUAAUUGGUCUGUGUCAAACUUUGCCCCACAUCUAAGUUUUUGAAGUUAACCUCAAGAAAAUACCUCCAUAACUAGAUCACCAGGUAAGAUAAGAUGCCUGUCUACUUCUUUGCAAAGAGAAAGCAAAGAAACAAAAACCAAAUAACUCAUGUAAACCUAUUUACUAUUUUGUUUUAAAGACAUUUUUGGCCAGGCUCGGUGGCCCCUGCCUGUAAUCUCAGUGCUUUGGGAAGCCAAGGUGAAAAGAUGGCUUGAGUCCAGGAGUCAAGACCAGCCUAGGCAACAGAGUGAGGCCCACAUCUCUUAAAAAAAUUAGCCAGGUGUGGUGUCACACACUUGUGGUCCCAGCUACUUGGGAGGCUGAGGUAGGUAGACUGCUUGAGCCCAGGAGGUUGAGGCUGUAGUGAGUUGUGAUCGCACCACUGCACUCCAGCCUGAGCAACAGUAGGAGGUGUCUCAGUCUCAAAAAAAUAAAAAAGAGAAUAGAAAUUUUUUAGUGUUUCAGA